CAGUAGCCGCGGUAAUACGAAGGGUGCAAGCGUUAAUCGGAAUUACUGGGCGUAAAGCGUGCGCAGGCGGUUGUGUAAGACAGGUGUGAAAUCCCCGGGCUUAACCUGGGAACUGCGCUUGUGACUGCACAGCUAGAGUAUGGCAGAGGGGGGUGGAAUUCCACGUGUAGCAGUGAAAUGCGUAGAGAUGUGGAGGAACACCGAUGGCGAAGGCAGUCCCCUGGGCCAACACUGACGCUCAUGCACGAAAGCGUGGGGAGCAAACAGGAUUAGAGACCCCUGUAGUCCCUGUCUCUUAUAC
rnacentral:rRNA from 1 species